AUCCCAGUGUCCUCUCUACCGAAAGAGAGAUUGGAAGAGGGUGGCUGUAUCAAUAAACACAUCAUUGGAGUGCAUCUGAAGUGAGAACAAGGGCAUCUUGGUGGGUAGAAGAAGAGAUGGCAUUCCAGGGAUGAAAUCCUAGGAAAUUCUGCCAUAUGGCACAAUGUUGGAGGCAGUAUGUGCCAGGACUGGGAGACAGGAGACCUGGGUUCCUGGAGUGACUCAAGAUUCGCCCUGUAAUGCAUCAGUUUCUCUAACUGUAAAGUGGGGCAAAUAAUCCCGCUGCUACCUGCCUGUUGUGAAGGUUUUCAGCAGCCUGGAUUCUGGGGUCUCCGGAGCUGGGAGACAACAGCAACAACAAAAAGGU